AUAAGAGGUCCAGCCUGCCCAGUGACACUGUUCAACGGCCGCGGUAACCUAACCGUGCGAAGGUAGCAUAAUCAUUUGUCCUUUAAAUGGGGACUAGCAUGAAUGGCAUCACGAAGAUUAUACUGUCUCCUUUUUCCAAUCAGUGAAACUAAUCUCCCCGUGAAGAAGCGGGGAUAUACAUAUAAGACGAGAAGACCCUAUGGAGCUUUAAGUAAAACAACAUUUGCCGUUACACAUCUUAAUUUAAGAAAAUUAACCUAUACUAUAGCAUUUUGAUUGUUAGCUUUAGGUUGGGGUGACCGCGGAGUAAAAAAGAACCUCCACAUUGAAAGGGGGAAAUCCCCUAAACAAAAAGUUACAACUUUACGUAUCAAUAUAUUGACAUCAAUUGACCCAAAAUUUUGAUCAACGAAACAAGUUACCCUAGGGAUAACAGCGCAAUCUGCUUCGAG
rnacentral:rRNA from 1 species